rnacentral:lncRNA from 1 species
CACACACACACUCAUCACACACACACCUCCACCUACACCCAUCAGCACUCCCCACACACGCCACACACACACUCAUCACACACACCCAUCGCACACACCACACACUCAUCACACACAUGCUUAUCACACACUCACACACCACACACACGCUCAUCACACACACCACACACACGUUCACCACACUCACACACACACCAAACACAUGCUUAUCACUCACGUGCUCAUCAUACACACACCUCCACCUGCACCAGUCCCCACUCCCCACACACAUCACACACACCAUUGCACACACACCACACACACACUCAUCACACACAUGCUCACCACACACAUUCAUCACACACAUCACACAUAUGCUCAUCACACCUGCUCAUUACACACUCAUCACACACACCACACACACAAACUCAUCACACAUACACCUGCACACAGCCACACACACAGGCCCAUCACACAGACACCAUGCACCACACACACACUCAUCACACAUACACACAAACCCAAC